AUUGGAAGAAGGGGUGGUUACACAAUUGAUUGGACAACACCUAGUAAGCAAUACUAUACACAUUAAAAGGUGAAAUACUGUAGCUAUGUUAUCGUAAAAAUACAACUCCAAACUAGAAGUAUCAGAACACUUAGAAAGGUCGUUCUAACCUUAAAUAUGACUGGGAGAAGUGUCAAGAAUAAGAAAGCUAUACAUCCCAUAGUACUCUAGAACACAGCAAAACAUGAACAACAACAGUCUAACCAUCACUUAAAUAUGACUGGGAGAAGUGUCAAGAAUAGGAAAGCUACAUAUUCCACAGUACACUAGAACACAGCAAAACAUGAACAACAAGUCUAACUGUCGCUGAGGGCAAUAGAGCAACAUGUUUUAGUAGGAUGAGAGGCCUUGUAACAAUCCCACCUCUCAGCACCAGAAGACAUUGUUAGUCAUAUAGGCAGAACAUGUUGCUGAGAGGUGGGAUUCAGUCUAGUGAUGAGAAGAAAAAAAAACAGCUUCUAUCUCAAGGCCAUCAGA